GCCUUGCAGGUCCCUCUGUGUGUGACCACAGUGUGCRAGUGGUGCCUGGGAAACUUCAUCUUGUAAGAGCUGAGAGACACUCACCUGUUCUCUUAGGUGGAGGACAGCCCAGCAGCUGGAAUUACAGGAGAAGAAGGGAGRAGGAGAAAGAUACACCUGGAACAGCAAAUUCAGCCAGCAUUGCCAAGAAGGAGAGCUGUGCCUGUGACACGCCAGUUUUGGCCAUUGAAGAGUGAGAUGCACGAUGCCAGAGUUUGCUGUGGCUUCCUCUUCAUCUGGGCAGAUAGCCAGCAUCUCUCUUAUGGACAGAGGUGGAAAGACAAGAAGGGAUAGAGAAAAAUGAUAGAGAAGAAAGAAGAAGGAAUGAAAGAGAAGAAAAGCUUUUCAGCAUUCAAAAUUUGUGGGAGGAGUUUGAAAACAUGUACUUUACAAGACAAAAUCAGGAGGCAAGGUAAGAAAAUGCACACACAUAUAAUUUAAGAAAUUUUCCAAAGUCAUUUUUCCCCUCAAAAUCUUGUAAUUUUGAGGUAAGAAGCAACUAACUCCUUAUUUUGAAUUCAAGAGGUUGUAAAUACUCACAUACCGUAAAUACCUACUGUUCUGGAUUGUGAAAGAACAAAUCACAAAGGUAAUGGCUUGUAUGUGAAAUUGGGAGCUGGGCAUCUAGUGCUUGGCAGAACUGUCCUCCAAAAAUCCUAUUUCUGGUAACMUUUUAUGCUUUCCCUUAUUUAGUGGUGCUUUACAGAAAUGAUGAGCCCACAUCCAUAGCAAUUUCUCGGUGGCAUCAAGGACCUCGUUCCCUGCUCUGGCUGUGCCCGUGCCUGACCCCGAGCAGCACAGCCCUGCCCGUCUUUGGGUGAUGCCAGGAAGUUCCUCUCAUAUCUGCAGAGAUUUAAAUUCCACUUAAACAAGCAGCCCUGCUGAAGUAGGUUGAGUGGGGAGGUUUUGCAGCCCAGCCUGUUACCCCAGCUCCUCUACAGCUUCCUCCUACUGCCCUUCCCCACCCUGCUCCUCCCAGGCUCAGGGGCUGCUCUCCCUCCUCCCAAGAGCCUGUGAUGUAGCCUGYCCAGCUUGUCCAUCUCCAGCCAAAGGCAGAGGUGCCCUGCUCUUACUCCUUGGGCCUUGCAUGCCUGCUGGCCCUUCCACACAWUCUGCAGGGGUAGGAUUUGGUAGUGGCAGGGCAAGGAGCAGCACAUGGCCCAGCCUCCAGUCUCUUUGAAGGUAAGCAAGGGAUGCUGCCAGCAUGAGCUGAGGGGAGAAACUGCAUCUGURCCUUUGAGGGACCACAGGAUUCCACUGUAGGGUAUCCUUGUCAGUCUCCAUCUGUUUGCACCACAGUCUGGGAGACUGAGCUGGCUUUGAACACAGGACACACRUGGAUGAACGUAC